rnacentral:rRNA from 1 species
GGGAAUAUUGGACAAUGGGCGCANGCCUGAUCCAGCCAUGCCGCGUGUGUGAAGAAGGCCUUAUGGUUGUAAAGCACUUUAAGCGAGGAGGAGGCUUACCUAGUUAAUACCUAGGAUAAGUGGACGUUACUCGCAGAAUAAGCACCGGCUAACUCUGUGCCAGCAGCCGCGGUAAUACAGAGGGUGCAAGCGUUAAUCGGAAUUACUGGGCGUAAAGCGCGCGUAGGUGGCCAAUUAAGUCAAAUGUGAAAUCCCCGAGCUUAACUUGGGAAUUGCAUUCGAUACUGGUUGGCUAGAGUAUAGGAGAGGAAGGUAGAAUUCCAGGUGUAGCGGUGAAAUGCGUAGAGAUCUGGAGGAAUACCGAUGGCGAAGGCAGCCUUCUGGCCUAAUACUGACACUGAGGUGCGAAAGCAUGGGGAGCAAACAGGAUUAGAUACCCUGGUAGUCCAUGCCGUAAACGAUGUCUACUAGCCGUUGGGCCCUUUGAGGGCUUAGUGGCGCAGCUAACGCGAUAAGUAGACCGCCUGGGGAGUACGGUCGCAAGACUAAAACUCAAAUGAAUUGACGGGGGCCCGCACAAGCGGUGGAGCAUGUGGUUUAAUUCGAUGCAACGCGAAGAACCUUACCUGGCCUUGACAUACUAAGAACUUUCUAGAGAUAGAUUGGUGCCUUCGGGAACUUAGAUACAGGUGCUGCAUGGCUGUCGUCAGCUCGUGUCGUGAGAUGUUGNUUAAGUCCCRCA